rnacentral:rRNA from 1 species
UACGUAGGGCGCAAGCGUUGUCCGGAAUUAUUGGGCGUAAAGAGCUCGUAGGCGGUUUGUCGCGUCUGCUGUGAAAUCCUCAGGCUCAACCUGGGGCUUGCAGUGGGCACGGGCAGACUAGAGUGCGGUAGGGGUGACUGGAAUUCCUGGUGUAGCGGUGGAAUGCGCAGAUAUCAGGAGGAACACCGAUGGCGAAGGCAGGUCACUGGGCCGCAACUGACGCUGAGGAGCGAAAGCAUGGGGAGCGAACAGG